UGGGGAAUAUUGCACAAUGGGCGCAAGCCUGAUGCAGCCAUGCCGCGUGUGUGAAGAAGGCCUUCGGGUUGUAAAGCACUUUCAGCGAGGAGGAAGGUGGUGAACUUAAUACGUUCAUCAAUUGACGUUACUCGCAGAAGAAGCACCGGCUAACUCCGUGCCAGCAGCCGCGGUAAUACGGAGGGUGCAAGCGUUAAUCGGAAUUACUGGGCGUAAAGCGCACGCAGGCGGUUUGUUAAGUCAGAUGUGAAAUCCCCGGGCUCAACCUGGGAACUGCAUUUGAAACUGGCAAGCUAGAGUCUCGUAGAGGGGGGUAGAAUUCCAGGUGUAGCGGUGAAAUGCGUAGAGAUCUGGAGGAAUACCGGUGGCGAAGGCGGCCCCCCUGGACGAAGACUGACGCUCAGGUGCGAAAGCGUGGGGAGCAAACA
rnacentral:rRNA from 1 species